rnacentral:rRNA from 1 species
UAGGGAAUCUUCCACAAUGGACGCAAGUCUGAUGGAGCAACGCCGCGUGAGUGAAGAAGGUUUUCGGAUCGUAAAGCUCUGUUGUUGGUGAAGAAGGAUAGAGGUAGUAACUGGCCUUUAUUUGACGGUAAUCAACCAGAAAGUCACGGCUAACUACGUUCCAGCAGCCGCGGUAAUACGUAGGUGGCAAGCGUUGUCCGGAUUUAUUGGGCGUAAAGCGAGCGCAGGCGGAAGAAUAAGUCUGAUGUGAAAGCCCUCGGCUUAACCGAGGAACUGCAUCGGAAACUGUUUUUCUUGAGUGCAGAAGAGGAGAGUGGAAUUCCAUGUGUAGCGGUGGAAUGCGUAGAUAUAUGGAAGAACACCAGUGGCGAAGGCGACUCUCUGGUCUGCAACUGACGCGGAGGCUCGAAAGCAUGGGUAGCGAACAGG